AUCCUUCCUGCCAGAAGAAACUUACAUUGGGAGGUCAACACCAGCUAGUGCACUUCUCUAUAAAGCCUCAAUGUAUAGGACGGAUUUCACAUGCCCAGAGGCUGUUGAGCAAGCUUCAUGUGCGCUGCAGUCAGAGGCCACCUCUUUCUUUGUGGGCCAGAUGGGUCCUUGAGUAAUUGCUGGAAUCCACAAAUACCAAACUAUGGCCAUUGAAGCUGA